rnacentral:rRNA from 1 species
AGAGUUUGAUCCUGGCUCAGGAUGAACGCUGGCGGCGUGCCUAACACAUGCAAGUCGAACGUGAAACCCGAUGCUUGCAUUGGGGAGUAAAGUGGCGAACGGGUGAGUAACACGUUGGUGACCUGCCCCGAGGUGGGGGACAACUGUGGGAAACCACAGCUAAUACCCCAGAUGUUGAGGAGUCUAGACGUCCUUAACUAAAGUUCCGACGCCUCGGGAGGGGCCUGCGGGCUAUCAGCUUGUUGGUGGGGUAAUGGCCUACCAAGGCUCAGACGGCUAGGGGGCGUGAGAGCGCGACCCCCCACAAUGGAACUGAGACACGGUCCAUACUCCUACGGGAGGCAGCAGUGAGGAAUAUUGCGCAAUGGGGGAAACCCUGACGCAGCAACGCCGCGUGGAUGAUGAAGGCCUUCGGGUUGUAAAAUCCUUUUCUGAGGGACGAUAAUGACGGUACCUCAGGAAUAAGUCCCGGCUAACUACGUGCCAGCAGCCGCGGUAAAACGUAGGGGGCGAGCGUUAUCCGGAUUUAUUGGGCGUAAAGCGCGCGUAGGCGGCACUGUAAGUUGGGCGUGAAAGCUCUCGGCUUAACUGAGAGAGGUCGUUCAAAACUACAGUGAUUGAGGUUGGAAGAGGAGAGUGGAAUUUCAGGUGUAGUGGUGGAAUGCGUAGAUAUCUGAAGGAACACCAGUGGCGAAAGCGACUCUCUGGUCCACACCUGACGCUGAGGUGCGAAAGCGUGGGUAGCGAACGGGAUUAGAUACCCCGGUAGUCCACGCCGUAAACGAUGGAUACUAGGUGUAGGAGGUUAUUUACCCCUUCUGUGCCAAAGCAAACGCGUUAAGUAUCCCGCCUGGGGACUACGACCGCAAGGUUAAAACUCAAAGGAAUUGACGG